rnacentral:lncRNA from 1 species
AGCCAUUUAUUCUUUUCUUCCUCUCUUUUAAAAAGAUUCAGAAACAUUUAAUAAUAUUGAAUAAGAUAGAUAUAUUAUUCUUUAAGAACAUAUAAAUCUUACAGAAAUAAAUGUGAAAAUCUAACUAAAUAGCAUAUACAGAUUUCAUAAGUAAGCCUAAAUAAUUAUAUUAAAAAGCUGAUAUUUAAAUUUAUAGAGUAUUUAAAAACAUUUAAAAGGGCAACUGUGAAAAAGAUAAAAUUGGUAUUUUGGUUGCCGUUACUGUAAAUUUUAACAGAAAUUUAUUUUAAAGGAUAUU